UACGAGAGGCCCAAACGUUAUUCGGAUUUACUGGGCUUAAAGAGUUCGUAGGCGGUCCGUCAAGUGGGGUGUGAAAUCCCUCGGCUUAACCGAGGAAUUGCGCUCCAAACUGUCGGGCUCGAGGGAGAUAGAGGUGAGCGGAACUGAUGGUGGAGCGGUGAAAUGCGUUGAUAUCAUCAGGAACACCAGAGGCGAAGGCGGCUCACUGGGUCUCUUCUGACGCUGAGGAACGAAAGCUAGGGUAGCGAACGGG
rnacentral:rRNA from 1 species